AUUGAACGCUGGCGGCAUGCCUUACACAUGCAAGUCGAACGGUAACAGGUUAAGCUGACGAGUGGCGAACGGGUGAGUAAUACAUCGGAACGUGCCCAGUAGUGGGGGAUAGCCCGGCGAAAGCCGGAUUAAUACCGCAUACGACCUAAGGGAGAAAGGGGGGGAUCGCAAGACCUCUCGCUAUUGGAGCGGCCGAUGUCAGAUUAGCUAGUUGGUGGGGUAAAAGCUCACCAAGGCGACGAUCUGUAGCUGGUCUGAGAGGACGACCAGCCACACUGGGACUGAGACACGGCCCAGACUCCUACGGGAGGCAGCAGUGGGGAAUUUUGGACAAUGGGCGCAAGCCUGAUCCAGCCAUGCCGCGUGCGGGAAGAAGGCCUUCGGGUUGUAAACCGCUUUUGUCAGGGAAGAAAUCCUUUGGGUUAAUACCUCGGGGGGAUGACGGUACCUGAAGAAUAAGCACCGGCUAACUACGUG
rnacentral:rRNA from 1 species